rnacentral:misc_RNA from 1 species
UCCGAUUUGUCACCUCAGUACCACGUGCAUGUCAAGCCGAGGUAAGGUUCUGCGCGUUGCAUCGAAUUAAACCACACGCUCCGCUGCUUGUGCGGGCCCCCGUCAAUUCCUUUGAGUUUUAGCCUUGCGGCCGUAGUCCCCAGGCGGUCGACUUAAUGCGUUAGCUGCGGCACCGGGAGGGUCGCUCCCCCCGACGCCUAGUGCCCAUCGUUUACGGCGUGGACUAC